GAAAAGCUUCGUGGUCUGUGUUCUCUAGUUGUUCCCUCUUCUCUCUGACAUUCCUUUCGUCGUCGCCAGGUCUUGUUUUUCGCUUGAUCUCUGGAAAAUACUGAAAAGUAUUUUACUUUUCAGCUGUCUCCUGCUAAAGACUUCAGAUGGAUUUUAAAAUUGAACACACUUGGGAUGGUUUUCCAGUGAAGCAUGAGCCCGUAUUUAUCAGGCUGAAUCCAGGUGACAGAGGAGUGAUGAUGGACAUUAGUGCUCCAUUUUUCAGGGAUCCUCCAGCCCCACUUGGAGAACCAGGAAAACCUUUCAAUGAACUGUGGGAUUAUGAAGUUGUGGAAGCAUUUUUCUUGAAUGAUAUAACUGAGCAAUAUUUAGAAGUUGAACUUUGUCCCCACGGACAGCAUUUAGUGCUUUUACUUUCUGGAAGAAGAAAUGUGUGGAAACAAGAACUUCCUUUAUCGUUCAGAAUGUCCAGAGGAGAGACAAAAUGGGAAGGCAAAGCUUAUCUCCCUUGGAGUUAUUUUCCACCAAAUGUGACAAAAUUCAAUUCAUUUGCAAUUCAUGGAUCAAAAGAUAAACGAAGUUAUGAAGCUCUUUACCCUGUACCUCAGCAUGAACUGCAGCAAGGACAAAAACCUGAUUUCCAUUGCCUAGAAUACUUCAAGUCUUUCAAUUUUAACACACUGCUUGGAGAAGAGUGGAAACAACCGGAAUCAGACCUGUGGCUAAUAGAGAAAUGUGAUAUAUAGGAGUAAUAGAUAACCAUACCGAUCAUUUUUUCCUCUAUACCUUUUAAGAUAAACAAAAAAUAAAUAUCAAUUUUUUAAGAUGUCAUGCAUACAUUUCAACAACAAAUAUCUUCAUAGAAGUCACUGAAAAUAUAGUAUCUGUGGCAAAUUGUAUAUGAUUAACAAGAAAAUAUAUGAUUCUUUGUAGAUGAUUUCAUCUGUAAAGUCACAAUGUUUCUCAGAGUCACUUAGUCCAGGAUGUUGCAUUCCCAGCACACAGUACAGUUAUUCUUGAAAACUACAAGUGAAAAAGGGGGAACAAUUGAGGUUGUCCAAGGCCACCUAGAGGACUGUCUUGCACUACCUUGUGAUUCAACCAUUUCAUUCCUAGAUAUAUACCCCAGAAAAAUGACUGCUCAUAGCAGCUUUAUUCAUAAUAGCACAAAAUUGUAAACAGUGAAAUUUCCAUCCAUAGGAAAAUGGAUAGACAAACUACAAUAUAGUCAGUGGAAUACUGUUCAUUUAAAAAAGGACUGCUGAUACAUGCAACAACCUGUAUGAAUCUCAAAAACAUUAAGUUGAGCAAAACAAACCAAACAUAACAUACUAUCUAAUUACUUUUAUAUUAAAGCCACUUCCAGGCAAAACUAAUAUUUGAUGAUAGAUACCAGAACAGUGGCUGCUUAGAGUGAGGGCAGGGAAUUCAAAUUGAAUGGAAAAGGGGCCUGAGGAAAUUUUCCGGGGUGAUUGAAAUGUUUUGUAUUUUGAUCUGGAUGAUGGUUAUGUAGCUGCAUAUAUUUGUCAACAUUCCUCAUGCUGUAUGUUUAGAUUUGUGAUUUUACUAUAUGUAAAUUAAUUCCUUAAUAAAAUACUAUUAU
rnacentral:lncRNA from 1 species